CCAGUGCAGCUUUCCCCCCUUGAUUUAUUUUGAAAAUAAUAAUAAUAAUAAUAAUAAUAAUAAUAAUAAUAAUAAUAAUAAUACAUUUUAAAAUAAAGUCUCGCGGGUGUUUUCAUACAUUACGUCACAACAUUACUGUGUGCGUGGAGUAAUAAUUAUCUCAUUAAAUUACUUUGCAGUUACUCUCAUCAAAAUAACCUCCACAGAUCAUUAAAUUACCUUUAAUGAAUUGCAGGCGGCGGAAGGUCGCUGUCCAUAUCAUCAGUAACGCGUUACUUUACUCCGUCACCACUGGCAUUAAUAAAUUACUGUGACGCGCCGCUUUUGUAACGAAACUCUGGUGAUGACGCCUUCAUGUGCUUUUGCUCUGCAGCGGAGAAAAUAAACCGGCGGACUUGAAGGCCUCACCGCUGAACACGGAGGGACGGAUCGCUGUUUUCAUCGUGUCGUGUUUCUAAUGAGCUUUGUUAGAAACAUGCGAUCGUCUUGAUGUUCUCUUAGAAUUAAAUUAGAGAAACGAAGUGUGGAAGAAUAAAACACGUCAUGUGAAUAUUAAGUGAGAAUAAAAUAGAGACAGAAUGAGGUUGAGUCUGUUCUAUCUCAGGACUUCUUGAAAAGCAAACUCGAUUUUAAAACUCAUAUAUUUUGUCUGAAAUCAAAUCUUAUUUUUUUUUUAAGUCUAAAUGUACCAACAUGAUUCUGCAGCACCUCUUUAAUUUUUUUUUAAUUUAUUGCAACAGUAUGAACACCUGAAUGCGUCAUGGAGAGCCAUGUGAGGAAGAAAUGCAUUCUGGGAACUGGCAAAACAAACAAACAAACAAAAAAACAAACAAACAAAAAAAACAAAAACAUGACGUCACAUUAAGAUAAGCAAGUCAUCCAGACAGACAGGAAGUGUUGGUGUGAAAUCUGAAAAAAAAGGAGCAAAUUUCACAAUAAAAGUCACAAAACAAUAGUUUCUUCCCUUGUUUGUAAACAAUCCUGUUGGUUCAUAUUAUCAGACGUGCUGGUUUAUGUUUAAUUGAUGUGAUUUCUGUCUUCACAGGAGAGGACGGAGCACCAGGACGUCCACCUGUAUGGACCCUGACAUUGGAGUAAAGCGUCCUCACACCUGUUGUUCCCUUGUGGAUGUUUACCUGAACAGGACGGAGGAUCCUGGACGUCAUGACCGCUCCUCCUCGUGAGGACUAUGACUAUGAGUCCACAUGAAGCCGGUCUGGGUCCGGAGGACAGUUUCAGCACUCGUCAAUUCAAGACUACAAGGACCAGAUUCAUGUUUUUUCAGCCUCCAGUGUCAACCUGAACCGGACUAACCUCAGCGAUGAUGCAUUUUGUGAGUUCUCUUGCACGGAGAAAAUAAACCUGCAGCCUUUAAAGCCUCACCGCUGAACACAGAGAGGGCCGGAUCACUGUGUUCAUCAUGUAAUGUCUCUAAUGAACUCUGUCAGAAACAUCUGAUCGUCCUAAUGUUCUCUUAGCAUCAGUGAUGAAGUGUGGAAGAAUAAAACACAUCACAGAAUGA